rfam:Sorex araneus cont1.389870, whole genome shotgun sequence.
UUCUUUGUUAAUUGUCAGCUGCUUAUAUCAAAUUCCAGGGCCAUUAUCCAGUAAACACUAUAGAAAUGUUUGAACUGUCGGAUUUCAAACAUUUUUGUCUUGUGGAGUGGUGCUUAUCAGUGGUAAAGCUCUAAGCAAGUGAAUA